rnacentral:misc_RNA from 1 species
GAUGAAGAACGUAGCGAAAUGCGAUAAGUAAUGUGAAUUGCAGAAUUCCGUGAAUCAUCGAAUCUUUGAACGCACAUUGCGCCCCCUGGUAUUCCGGGGGGCAUGCCUGUCCGAGCGUCAUUACAACCCUCAAGCUCAGCUUGGUAUUGGGCCCCGCCGCUCCGGCGGGCCCUAAAGUCAGUGGCGGUGCCGUCCGGCUCCGAGCGUAGUAAUUCUUCUCGCUCUGGAGGUCCGGUCGUGUGCUCGCCAGCAACCCCCAAUUUUUUUCAGGUUGACCUCGGAUCAGGUAGGGAUACCCGCUGAACUUAAGCAUAUCAAUAAGCGGAGGA